AAAUUGAAGAGUUUGAUCAUGGCUCAGAUUGAACGCUGCCGGCAGGCCUAACACAUGCAAGUCGA
rnacentral:rRNA from 1 species